AAAAAAGAAAAGAAAAGGCUUCAGCCUUUCUUUUUUUACCCGAGUCUCUCUCUCUCUCCUCAGAAAACCUCUCUCUCUCUCUCUCUCUCCUCUGCGUAUUACUGUUGUCGACGACGCAGGAGUACUUUCCGGCCACCAUUUUUAGCCACGCGCCGGACCGUUGGAUUCAGAGGCCUCCGAACUAUCGACCCACGCGGGAAUCUAGAGCUCACUCGCCGAUUAAACGCCUCAACCACUCGAUUUAAGUUCGGCCACCCCGCGACUUCAAAGUUGCGAUUCGGCCACCUCGGGCAUCCGUUUGCCGAUCCGUCACCACCAUCGUGCUCCUCGUGUUGUGGGCUUCAAAACCCAAUAACUUGUUCCUACAUCUACCAUAGUUGGGUGGUGGGCCCACCACGAGCCACCGCGAUCCACAGUAGACCGACGGUCGAAACUUAGUGUUCGGGGUUUUGAAGUACGUUUUGAGUCUCAGAAAAUCAUCGUUUGACUUGUUGUUGAACCCGAUCAUUUUGGAUUUGUAUGGAUUUAAUUGAUUGACUCUUGGUGAGCCGUUUUAAAAUAAGCUAAGGACCUAAGGUGUGGCUUUAGCUGUUGAGCAACUUGUGGAGCACGGACUCAGUAGCAAUGCAAUAAUGGUUUAGAGUUUUCAUAUGGCUGCCUUAAAUUUAAAGUAUUCAUACGUGUAAUAAUUUCUUCUAAUAAGUUUAUAUAAAAGUUUAAAAUUUUUCUG